rnacentral:rRNA from 1 species
UGGUAAUGCCGGAUGCUCCAUCACACUGCAUGGUGUGUUGGGAAAGCCUUUGCGGCAUGGGAUGGGGUCGCGUCCUAUCAGCUUGAUGGCGGGGUAACGGCCCACCAUGGCUUCGACGGGUAGCCGGCCUGAGAGGGCGACCGGCCACAUUGGGACUGAGAUACGGCCCAGACUCCUACGGGAGGCAGCAGUGGGGAAUAUUGCACAAUGGGCGCAAGCCUGAUGCAGCGACGCCGCGUGAGGGAUGGAGGCCUUCGGGUUGUAAACCUCUUUUGUUAGGGAGCAAGGCAUUUUGUGUUGAGUGUACCUUUCGAAUAAGCACCGGCUAACUACGUGCCAGCAGCCGCGGUAAUACGUAGGGUGCAAGCGUUAUCCGGAAUUAUUGGGCGUAAAGGGCUCGUAGGCGGUUCGUCGCGUCCGGUGUGAAAGUCCAUCGCUUAACGGUGGAUCCGCGCCGGGUACGGGCGGGCUUGAGUGCGGUAGGGGAGACUGGAAUUCCCGGUGUAACGGUGGAAUGUGUAGAUAUCGGGAAGAACACCA